CCUACGGGUGGCUGCAGUGGGGAAUAUUGGACAAUGGGGGGAACCCUGAUCCAGCCAUGCCGCGUGUGUGAAGAAGGCCCUCGGGUUGCAAAGCACUUUCAGUGAGGAAGAACGCCUGGUGGUUAAUACCCAUCAGGAAAGACAUCACUCACAGAAGAAGCACCGGCUAACUCCGUGCCAGCAGCCGCGGUAAUACGGAGGGUGCGAGCGUUAAUCGGAAUUACUGGGCGUAAAGCGCGCGUAGGUGGCUUGAUAAGCCGGUUGUGAAAGCCCCGGGCUCAACCUGGGAACGGCAUCCGGAACUGUCAAGCUAGAGUGCAGGAGAGGAAGGUAGAAUUCCCGGUGUAGCGGUGAAAUGCGUAGAGAUCGGGAGGAAUACCAGUGGCGAAGGCGGCCUUCUGGACUGACACUGACACUGAGGUGCGAAAGCGUGGGUAGCAAACAGGAUUAGAUACCCUAGUAGUC
rnacentral:rRNA from 1 species